AACUUGUUCCCAACAUCAGAAUUUAGGAAUACUUUUAAGUAACCCUUUUCAAACUAGAAUUGCACUUGAUCAAGCCCAGUUUGGUCCAAGUCGGUUCAUAUCAGCCCACUCAGCCUGUACGAAGCUCCUGCAUGUGGAAAGCUGGUGUAAGAUCAGAAAACUAAAGUCCUGCAGGAGUAUUGUGCAAAGGAGUGCUGUGAUAUUUGCCCACUGUGAUGCCUAAUAUAAUGCAGUUCUUCCAGAAGCAAUGAUCUAAUCUGCAGUCAGGCAUGUAGUUGGGCAUGCACUCACUCUCCGUAUUACAGAGCCACUGGAAUAAGGAAUAAGUGAAAUAAUGCACCUACUGUCUAAUGGUUAGAUGUUAUGACUUCCUGUGUGGCAGCAUAGCUUAUCAGAGGAGGUACUGCUAUGUGUACAGUUAUGUACAUCAUCCCAAAAACUGAUGAAAUCAGUUUCUGUGAUCAGUUAAUGAGGCCUAAUGUGGAACUACCUGUAGGCUGAUUUUCUUUUGGAAGCAGGCCAGGAUGCUGGAGAAUAGUCAUGGGCAAUGCGUGUGGAUCCGGCCAGCUUUCUUGUACCAGGAGCCUCUUCUCUGUGCUUGCAGGGACCCAGCAAACGUGUACAGCCAGAGCAAAUUGGCAGAGUUCUGUGCAGGAGAAAGACGAGGAAGAGUGAUGACAAUGCAGGAUGAAGCAUGGAUGCUUGGAAACACAAAACAAUGCUGUUAAAAUGUCAGAUGGUAAAAACAACCAAGAGUUCCAGAUGGGGCAAUUGGAAGAGAAACAUGCUGAAGAUGAUAAUAAGAAAGUUCUGGAUUCUCUCAAUUGGGAAUCCCAUGUCCUCACCUGUGACUUCCAAAUGCAAUCACUAUUCAAGUCUUGUGCAAAGCAGCACGUCAUGAGGAAGUUCUUCGUUAUCAGGUGCUCUCUCAUUUGGCCAGGAGUGUUCGACCAAACCAUAUUAGGUCCAUGUCAUGAGGAGUUCAGAGGAAACAUCACAGAGCUCUUUGCUGUUGAGUGGGAGGUCAUGAAGAGUUUGGAGUCUGGCUGUGGUGCUGAUAUGUACGAUGGGUUGGUGGAAAGAAGACAAGCCUGUGAGAGAUGCAACAUGCUGGUGCAUUUGAGAUAUGUGAACAUAAAACAAGCACCCAGUUUAUGUUGGUCUUUGUGCUAG
rnacentral:lncRNA from 1 species